rnacentral:rRNA from 1 species
AUGCGUCCGCUCGACGAGAAGGAGACCACGAUGGUCUUGGAGAAGCUCUUCAAGUUCACCGGCCCCAACCUGAAGCACCUCCUGGAGCGGCCCUCCGCGGAGGGCCCCGACCCGGAGCCCGGCAGCUACUGCCUCCGCCUCCACAAGAACCGCGUCUUCUAUGCCUCUAAGUCGCUCGUCCGUCGCGCCUCGCCGAGGUCGGCACGCCCAUCGAUCGGCAAGUUCACCCAUGGCGGCGCUUUCCACUGUGGGUGUUACAUCCACCUCACCAUCCACGCGCUCGACCUCCUCGCCGCCCAUGCGUGCUGCCGCAUCUGGCUGAAGCCCGACACGGAGCGUUCGUUCCUCUUCGGCAACUCCGUGCCCAAGUCCGCGCUCGCGCGCAUCACCGAGAACACCAAGUCGCGGUCAUUGGACGUAUCAAUGUCCAUGGCCGACGUGCCGCUCAGGUUUGAGGUCGCCGCUAGGGGCGCGCAGGACUGCAGGAAGGCCGACACCAACGGCGUGGUGGUGCUCCACCAGUCCGACGACGACGAGUACCUCCGCAAGGAGGAGGAGCUCAUGUGA